CAUACAUUCUUUUUAAUGGUGAGUACAAGAAAUCUAAUAUGCCGUUUUUACUAUUGCAGAGAACCCAUUAGUGUCAUUAUUCCAGCAUAUUUUGACUACGUUUGGGACAAUCACUCACUUAAGGGACCCCAACAGUGUCAUUAUUCCAGCAUGUUUUGAUUACGUUUAGGACAAUCACUAAGUUAAGAUAAACGCUGAAUUCAUGCGGAUAACAACAGUGCGACUCCUGACCAAGUUCUUGGGGCAGCUGGAUGGAUACGCGGUAAACCUACAUAAGGUUUUCAAAAGCAAAGGAGGUGCUUCUGGACAGAAUAUAUCACGCAUAAUGGCAAUUGCUGACAAGCGUGAUGACAUACACCUCGAACGAGACUGUGUCAUAAAGAGUCUGUGUGUGUAUCUCAAUGAGGACAUCACAACACUUUUGAAAGAAUUC